rnacentral:rRNA from 1 species
GGCUGCAACUCGCCUACAUGAAGUUGGAAUCGCUAGUAAUCGCGAAUCAGAAUGUCGCGGUGAAUACGUUCCCGGGUCUUGUACACACCGCCCGUCACACCACGAGAGUUUACAACACCCGAAGUCAGUGGCCUAACCGUAAGGAGGGAGCUGCCUAAGGUGGGGUANAUGAUUGGGGUNAAGUCGUAACAAGGUAAC